GAAUCUGAUAUGCUGCAU
rnacentral:siRNA from 1 species